GCCCUACCACCAAUCCUCCCUCCCUCCAGUUGGUGCCCAUGCCUAGCUGUCCGCGUUGCUGCAUUAACUCAAGCCUCCCUACCUGCCAGGUUUUCCAGUGGGAGAUCGGGGCGGAUCAGGUUGGCGUAGGGUUCAGUGUAUCCCAGGUUUUCCAGUGGGAGAUCGGGGCGGAUCAGGUUGGCGUAGGGUUCAGUGUAUCCCAGGUCCACCCAGUUACUGUGGCUGUAGAAGUCCUGACAAAACACAAGCAUGUAUUAUAUACCACGUCUGUGUCUGUGGGAAAGCCAUCUAUCUAAUUCCCUAUUAAACCCACCUCUAGACAGAAGAUAACUUGGUUCAGAUGAUAAUACUUGAGCCAAGGUGAAAUAUGAAAUGAGAGAUGAGGUGAGAUGUUUUCUUCCCCCCUCCUUCUCCCUCUACCCUUUAAUUCCUUAUGUUUUUUAUUCAUUUUCAUUUUAUUUAUCCUUUAUUUUAUCAGGGAGUCAUACUGAGACCAAUGUCACUUUUACAGAUCAGCCCUAAAUUACAGAAAUUACAGAAAAUCCACAUCAAAAACAGGGGCGCAACUUUUAKUGGAGAUGGGGGGACAUGUCCCUCCCACAUUCUGAAAUUAUAUUUUGUCCCCCCCCAGUUUUAUCACUGGAAUGUGAUACAAAAACGUGGCAAAGGUGUACUUUAGGACCAUGCGGACACCUCCGAGAGGUCAGGUAGGUUGUUUGGAGUGUUUAUGCCACAAAAAAUGUAAAUAAAAUAAUAAUACGAUAUCCCCCCCACUUCUAAAACCACUUCUAUAUGCUCCCCUAAAUCAAAAACAUGGUCAUAAAAAACACAUUCAUCAUUAAUAAGGUCCUCAAUCAGCUUUCUGAAUUGACCCAGAGGCACCAAAACAUCACAUUUAAGAACAUUUAGAAAAAAACGAACGGCUGAUUAACCUAACUCAGUAGAGACCAAAGGAAUUUCCAUCCCUGAGACCGGGUGUGGUAACUCGUAGGUCUAAAGUUUAGUAACGAGGUUUAUAAAUGAAAUCAUAGCAAUGUAUCAACCUAUGUGACAUCCAAGAGGRCAAGCCAACUUCCUGGUAGAGAAUGCUGUGCUGAACAGUAAAAUUGUCAGCGGUAAUAAAGCGCAGUGUGCCGUGAUAAACUGCAUCUAAUGGCUUUAAUGAGGUGGCAUCUACAUAUAGAUGAUGUCACCAUAGUCUAGGACCGAUAGGAACAUCAGUUCAAUAAUCUGCUUUAGCACGGCCCGCGAGACAUAAACAUAUAUUUUUUUU
rnacentral:lncRNA from 1 species